rnacentral:rRNA from 1 species
GACGGAGGGGGCUAGCGUUGUUCGGAAUUACUGGGCGUAAAGCGCGCGUAGGCGGCCUUUCAAGUCAGGUGUGAAAGCCCCGAGCUUAACUCGGGAACCGCAUUUGAUACUGUUGGGCUUGAGACCGGGAGAGGAUAGCGGAAUUCCCAGUGUAGAGGUGAAAUUCGUAGAUAUUGGGAAGAACACCAGUGGCGAAGGCGGCUAUCUGGACCGGUACUGACGCUGAGGUGCGAAAGCGUGGGGAGCAAACAGG